GACGAACGCUGGCGGCGUGCUUAACACAUGCAAGUCGAACGGAAAGGCCCUGCUUGCAGGGUACUCGAGUGGCGAACGGGUGAGUAACACGUGGGUGAUCUGCCCUACACUUCGGGAUAAGCUUGGGAAACUGGGUCUAAUACCGGAUAGGAGCCAUCUUUAGUGUGGUGGUUGGAAAGUUUUUUCGGUGUAGGAUGAGCUCGCGGCCUAUCAGCUUGUUGGUGGGGUAAUGGCCUACCAAGGCGGCGACGGGUAGCCGGCCUGAGAGGGUGUACGGCCACAUUGGGACUGAGAUACGGCCCAGACUCCUACGGGAGGCAGCAGUGGGGAAUAUUGCACAAUGGGCGCAAGCCUGAUGCAGCGACGCCGCGUGGGGGAUGAAGGCCUUCGGGUUGUAAACUCCUUUCGCUAGGGACGAAGCUUUGUUGUGACGGUACCUAGAUAAGAAGCACCGGCUAACUACGUG
rnacentral:rRNA from 1 species